rnacentral:snRNA from 1 species
CCCAACAAUAUUGUUUUAUCC